rnacentral:rRNA from 1 species
AGAGCGAACGCUGGCGGCAGGCUUAACACAUGCAAGUCGAACGGAUCCUUCGGGAUUAGUGGCGGACGGGUGAGUAACACGUGGGAACGUGCCUUUUGGUUCGGAACAACACAGGGAAACUUGUGCUAAUACCGAAUGUGCCCUUCGGGGGAAAGAUUUAUCGCCAUUAGAGCGGCCCGCGUCUGAUUAGCUAGUUGGUGAGGUAAAGGCUCACCAAGGCUACGAUCAGUAGCUGGUCUGAGAGGAUGAUCAGCCACAUUGGGACUGAGACACGGCCCAAACUCCUACGGGAGGCAGCAGUGGGGAAUCUUGCGCAAUGGGGGAAACCCUGACGCAGCCAUGCCGCGUGAAUGAUGAAGGUCUUAGGAUUGUAAAAUUCUUUCAGCGGGGACGAUAAUGACGGUACCCGCAGAAGAAGCUCCGGCUAACUUCGUGCCAGCAGCCGC